UCCUCCUGGUUCCUGAUCCAUCAAACCUGUUCUGAUGUGGACAUAUUAAUAAAGUUUCUGAUGUCAAAGAGUCUCUCAGGGAGCCUUUCUUCAGAACAUACUCAUCGGUUGAUUCAAAGAUGGCAAACCCUGGCUGAAUUCACUACAAUUUGUCACGAAUCUGGAGGUCCAGCUGACCUGACCUGAACUGUAUUCUCUCGUGUUCUGCAAUCUUUCCAAGCCAGCUAUGAAUAAGGAUCACACCAUGAAAGAUGGCUGAUGCCACCACAGAGACAAAGAAGAACCUCAGAAGCACCCCCUGCACUCCAAGGACCUCAGUCUCCACAACAGCAGGUUGAUCUGAUGGGUGAAGCCACUGAGGCAGGGUGACCGUGACCAGAACCACCAUGUUGACACACCACGCAUGUCAACGCGACCUUUAUGUAGGACACAUAGUUCAAAUGGUUGGUAUGAUUCCAGUUCCAGUCCUUCACCAAAAAUGUGAAAUGAUGAAUGACAGGUUGGCUGAUGGGAGAUUAUAUCAGCAGAAGGGAAGCAGUCAUGAAGAUGCACAUCUCCAGCAAGCAUACAUAAAUGAGCCUCAUUUGGCUAUACUGUAUAUGGGCAAACAGUAUGAGUCCCAACAGGGUUUGUCCACAGUUUUAAAAGUGGCCCCACAAAGGUUUGCACACAUAAAUUUUACCAGGCUCUACAUGGGUUUUCAGAGGCAACCAGAUGAUUUACAGGUGAUGGUCAUAAAAUUAGAAUAUCAUGACAAAGUUUUAUUUCAGUAAUUUCUUUCAAAAAGUGAAACUUGUAUAUUCAACUCAUUCAUGCAGUA